rnacentral:rRNA from 1 species
GACGGAGGAUGCAAGCGUUAUCCGGAAUGAUUGGGCGUAAAGCGUCCGCAGGUGGCAGUUCAAGUCUGCUGUCAAAGACCGGGGCUUAACUUCGGAAAGGCAGUGGAAACUGAACAGCUAGAGUAUGGUAGGGGCAGAGGGAAUUCCUGGUGUAGCGGUGAAAUGCGUAGAGAUCAGGAAGAACAUCGGUGGCGAAGGCGAGGCUCUGGGCAAAUUCUGACGCUGAGGCACGAAGGCUAGGGGAGCAAACGGG